CAUUAAUCUCCCUUAUUCUGAGUGUAUUUUGCCCAUGAUGGUAUUUGUUGAAUGAUCUCUCUGUCCUUACGUCCACCUAUGAGUGGGUCAUGUUUGAGAAGAAAGGAGCAGCCAAGAGAGGCUGUGACCUACUCUGGGUUGGGGCAAUCCCAGAGAUGAGGGCAGACUGGGAGAAGAACUCAUUGAGAGCAGCCCAGCAGAGAAAGACUGGGGAGCUCUGGUAGAUAAAAAGCUUGAUGUGAGCCAGCAAUGUGUGCUUGCAGCCCAGGUCAACUGUGUCCUGGACUGCACCAACAGAGAAGUGGCCAGCAGGGGAUGGAGGACUCUGAUGUGUUUAAUUGCCUUGAAGAUGUCUGGAUGAUUUGCAAAAAAUCUCCAUCCAGACUCUUGUCUCCAGAUUCCCACUGCAUGAGGAAACCACCAUUCUGCAGUCUUCAGGUCAUUGCAGCACAGAGGAAGGGCUGAGAGGAGUCUGUCCUCUGGCUGCGCUGACUGAAAGCAUGCGGCUGUGUGUGUGCUGCCACCUCACCCUUGGCGGCUUGUAGAUAUUUUCCAUUUUUGGCAACAUGCUCCAGCUGUUACUCUUCCGUCUCCAUUGUGCUUUUAACCCAGUACUGAGCUCAAGGACCAGAAAGGACUAGCAGUUUGAUACCUGUAGUUGUUUUUUAAAAAUAAA